AUUGAACGCUGGCGGCAUGCCUUACACAUGCAAGUCGAACGGUAACGGGCCUUCGGGUGCCGACGAGUGGCGAACGGGUGAGUAAUGUAUCGGAACGUACCUUUCAGUGGGGGAUAACGUAGCGAAGUUACGCUAAUACCGCAUAUUCUGUGAGCAGGAAAGCAGGGGAUCGCAAGACCUUGCGCUGAUUGAGCGGCCGAUGUCAGAUUAGCUAGUUGGUGAGGUAAAGGCUCACCAAGGCGACGAUCUGUAGCGGGUCUGAGAGGAUGAUCCGCCACACUGGAACUGAGACACGGUCCAGACUCCUACGGGAGGCAGCAGUGGGGAAUUUUGGACAAUGGGGGCAACCCUGAUCCAGCCAUGCCGCGUGAGUGAAGAAGGCCUUCGGGUUGUAAAUCGCUGUCAGUGGGAGGAAAUAUUGGUGGGUUCUCCCGAUCAGUUUGACCUAUCCGCAGAGGAGGACGGCUAAGUCGUGCCAGCAGCGAC
rnacentral:rRNA from 1 species